CUUAUGGAAUCGUAGAGUUUUAACGUUGUGGUUUGGUUUGCUUUCGUGUCUCAUAUCUGAUAAGACAUGGUAUUGAGUGUUUAGAUCCGUUAAUUCUGAUGGUCGAUGGUGCUUAAAGUUGCGGAUCCGCUCCUUGCCUCAAAGUGGAGUCACAAGUAGCUUCUGUUCUGUCUGAGAAUUCUCUUCGUUGAGUCAACGCCUCCAUUGAAGGCUCUGGCUUUCCUUCUUGAUUCGUUUAUCUUCUUCCCUUGAUGAAUCUAUGCAACAUCAGAUAGGCUCGUGGUAUCUCCCUCGUCGUCUUCCUCCAAUGUGUCUCUGUUGGCGAGUUGCGUUAGAUUUGUUUAGGGAUUUUCGGAGUCUCUCUUUUGCGGAUCUUUGACUGUUCUGAGGUUGAGUCUUGUUUGAAUGAAGUUUCGGUUCUAGCCAUCUGCUUUGUCUACCUUGGUGUUGUGUUUGACAUCGAUGGUCCUGGAAAAUCUCUCCUUGUGAUGAGACGGACUCGAUGCUUUUUGCCAUUGGCUCUUGGAUAAAAAUUUUUGGUUGGUUCUUCUAUCUCUUUAAGAUCUGCUUCGUUUGGAGUAUGUGGGUCACUAAUUUGCCAUCUUAAGUUGUAUUUCUUCCAGUUUAAGGUUAUCGACUUCUCGGGGUUGGUUUGGAACGUUUAAUACUAUUCAAUGCUCUAUCAAGUCUUUCAGUAGAGAGAAGAGCUAUUCAAUGGGUUUUGAUUCGGAUCUUUCCACAAGACAAAUAAGACAAUUAUGCGUCGAUCUCUUAGUUUCAAGUUCAGUCAUUUUCCUUUCAGAUUCUCAUGAUUCUUAGUUCACUCAUUGAAGGUUUUUCUGCUUAUUUUCUAAGUUUUAGCUUAUGGUAUUUGUAUUUUUGGUUAUUUAUACUUUUUUUUUUUUGGUUCUUGUUUUUAGAGAUAUUAUUUUGUUCUGCCGACUUAUUUUACCGAGAAUUUUAGUUCCUUCUGCUGGUUUUUGUAACUUGUACUCCACCAUGUAUCACCCUUAGCGGUUGCUAUUUCAUGAAUAAUUCAGACAGAAAAAUAUAAUAAUUCAAAUUUGAUAUGGAUAAAUGAGA